UACAUAGGAUGCAAGCGUUAUCCGGAAUGAUUGGGCGUAAAGCGUCUGUAGGUGGCUUUUUAAGUCCGCCGUCAAAUCCCAGGGCUCAACUCUGGACAGGCGGUGGAAACUACCAAGCUGGAGUACGGUAGGGGCAGAGGGAAUUUCCGGUGGAGCGGUGAAAUGCGUAGAGAUCGGAAAGAACACCAACGGCGAAGGCGGCUAUCUGGACGGUUUCUGACGCUAAGACGCGAAAGCGUGGGGAGCAAACAGG
rnacentral:rRNA from 1 species